UACGAAGGGUGCAAGCGUUACUCGGAAUUACUGGGCGUAAAGCGUGCGUAGGUGGUGAGUUAAGUCUGUCGUGAAAGCCCCGGGCUCAACCUGGGAAUGGCGAUGGAUACUGGCUCGCUAGAGUGCGGUAGAGGAGAGUGGAAUUCCCGGUGUAGCAGUGAAAUGCGUAGAGAAUCGGGAGGAACAUCAGUUGCGAAGGCGGCUCUCUGGACCAGCACUGACACUGAGGCACGAAAAGCGUGGGGGAGCAAAACAGGG
rnacentral:rRNA from 1 species